rnacentral:rRNA from 1 species
UUUCGAUGACCCUAGCGGGAAGCUUUACACAUGCAAGUCGAACGGCAGCGGCAUGGACAAAUCCUUCGGGAGGCGACCAUGGCCGGCGAGUGGCGGACGGGUGAGUAAUGCAUCGGAAUGUGCCCAGUAGCGGGGGAUAACCACUCGAAAGAGUGGCUAAUACCGCAUAUUCUCUACGGAGGAAAGAGGGGGAUCUUCGGACCUCUCACUACUGGAGCAGCCGAUGUCGGAUUAGCUAGUUGGUGGGGUAAAGGCUCACCAAGGCAACGAUCCGUAGCUGGUUUGAGAGGACGACCAGCCACACUGGGACUGAGACACGGCCCAGACUCCUACGGGAGGCAGCAGUGGGGAAUUUUGGACAAUGGGGGGAACCCUGAUCCAGCCAUCCCGCGUGUAUGAUGAAGGCCUUCGGGUUGUAAAGUACUUUUGACAGGGAAGAAACAACUCCGGCUAAUACCCGGAGCCAAUGACGGUACCUGUAGAAUAAGCACCGGCUAACUACGUGCCAGCAGCCGCGGUAAUACGUAGGGUGCAAGCGUUAAUCGGAAUUACUGGGCGUAAAGGGUACGCAGGCGGCUAGGAAAGAAGGAUGUGAAAUCCCAGGGCUCAACCUUGGAACUGCAUUCUUAACUGCCUAGCUGGAGUAUGUCAGAGGGGGGUAGAAUUCCACGUGUAGCAGUGAAAUGCGUAGAUUUUUGGAGGAAUCCCGAUGGCGAAGCCAGCCCCCUGGGAUAAUACUUGACCCU